AGAUUUGCGAGGUGACCAGUCUCCAGACAUUGUUCGCUCCUGCUUGUGUACGCGAUUGGCCGAGACUAAAAAAAACUGUAGUGUGCCACCUUAAGGUUUUAGUCGUUUGCUUGUAAGGCAAGAUAGUCCCUGGAGAAGAACUAAAUUACGUCAACAGCCUUGUCAGCGGAAAGACACUCCGUUGCAGUUACUGAAGGUUUUAGUCGUUUGCUUGUAAGGCAAGAUAGUCCCUGGAGAAGAACUAAAUUACGUCAACAGCCUUGUCAGCGGAAAGACACUCCGUUGCAGUUACUGAAGAUUUGCGAGGUGACCAGUUUCCAGACAUUGGUUCGCUCCUGCUUGUGUACGCGAUUGGCCGAGACUAAAAAAACUGUAGUGUGCCACCUUAAGGUUUUAGUCGUUUGCUUGUAAGGCAAGAUAGUCCCUGGAGAAGAACUAAAUUACGUCAACAGCCUUGUCAGCGGAAAGACACUCCGUUGCAGUUACUGAAGGUUUUAGUCGUUUGCUUGUAAGGCAAGAUAGUCCCUGGAGAAGAACUAAAUUACGUCAACAGCCUUGUCAGCGGAAAGACACUCCGUUGCAGUUACUGAAGGUUUUAGUCGUUUGCUUGUAAGGCAAGAUAGUCCCUGGAGAAGAACUAAAUUACGUCAACAGCCUUGUCAGCGGAAAGACACUCCGUUGCAGUUACUGAAGAUUUGCGAGGUGACCAGUUUCCAGACAUUGGUUCGCUCCUGCUUGUGUACGCGAUUGGCCGAGACUAAAAAAACUGUAGUUUGCCACCUUAAGGUUUUAGUCGUUUGCUUGUAAGGCAAGAUAGUCCCUGGAGAAGAACUAAAUUACGUCAACAGCCUUGUCAGCGGAAAGACACUCCGUUGCAGUUACUGAAGGUAAAACGACAUCUUCAGUGG